rnacentral:rRNA from 1 species
AGUGAACGCUGGCGGUAGGCCUAACACAUGCAAGUCGAACGGCAGCACCGUAAGAGCUUGCUCUUACGGGUUGCGAGUGGCGGACGGGUGAGGAAUACAUCGGAAUCUACUUUUUCGUGGGGGAUCACGUAGGGAAACUUACGCUAAUACCGCAUACGACCUACGGGUGAAAGCAGGGGAUCUUCGGACCUUGCGCGAUUGAAUGAGCCGAUGUCGGAUUAGCUAGUUGGCGGGGUAAAGGCCCACCAAGGCGACGAUCCGUAGCUGGUCUGAGAGGAUGAUCAGCCACACUGGAACUGAGACACGGUCCAGACUCCUACGGGAGGCAGCAGUGGGGAAUAUUGGACAAUGGGCGCAAGCCUGAUCCAGCCAUACCGCGUGGGUGAAGAAGGCCUUCGGGUUGUAAAGCCCUUUUGUUGGGAAAGAAAAGCAGCAGGUUAAUACCCCGCUGUUCUGACGGUACCCAAAGAAUAAGCACCGGCUAACUUCGUG